GUCAGUAAGUUCUCCCUUAAUAAAAGAAUUAACCAAUUGAGCAUCUCCUGCCAAAGAGAUAGAAAGGUAAUUGACAAAGUUGAUUUAACUCUUAUCAUGCAUCAAUAUGCCUAAAAUAAAACUUGUUGUCGAGGCAAAACAAUUAUUUUGGGAGAAACUCUAUUUAGCAUCUGGUUUAAAUUUCCUACACCGCACACAUGAUAUGGCGAACCCACUCUGGUGCCACAUCACGAUUCUCAGCUUUGGAUGAAAUCCUCAAUCCCGAUCCCGAUUUCCUCCAUUGAAACAAGCUACAACCUCUCCUCAUGCUCGAUUUCAUCACUGAAACCCUUCCUCUCCUCAUGCCCCUCUCUCUCGUGCUUUUCUCUCUCACUCUCUCCCAUGCUCCUCUCUGUGAUUCUAGGGCAAAGUCGUCCCUUACAAACUCAAGUCGACAUCAAAGAGAGACAGGGACCAGAUCUGUGGCCACGCCAUGGGUCUACUUUCUCAUGUGAAAUAUUCAUACAGUGUGCAAGGAGAAGCAAGAUGUGAAUUUUUCAUAUGAGCAGAUAUACUUCAAUUGAUAAAUGAGAACAUUCUGAGAAGAGAUAAUGCAGUUUGGAAGAGGGAGGAUGAUGUAUUAUUGCGCGAGUAUGAAGCUCGAAAAAUGGAAGAUAAACUAAGAGAGAGAAAGAGACAAAUGUUCACAAGGUUGAGGUCGAACAAAAUUUGCGGAGGUUUGAGAAUAGAAAUGCAUGAAUAUUAUUGUGUUUGUACUUAAUUGAAUCCAUUGUAAUAGUUUAUACUUGGUUUGAAUAAGAUAUAGGGCACAUGUAAAUAGCUGGGUAUUUUCUCGAUAGUUUUUGUAUGGAUCAACUAUAAUGAUACUCCCCCUUUGUUUCUGCAAGCACUCGGCCAUUGAGGUGGUCAUUAUUUUAUGCAAAAAUUAACUGUGUUAAGCCUGAUUAGGUGUGAAUUUGCAAGCUGUUGUGGUUAUGAUGUACAAAAGGUAUAGUGAACGUUUAAGUUAA